UACAGAGGUCCCAAGCGUUGUUCGGAUUCACUGGGCGUAAAGGGUGCGUAGGCGGUCGGGUAAGUCUAACGUGAAAUCUCCGAGCCUAACUCGGAAACUGCGUCGGAUACUAUUCGGCUAGAGGAACGGAGGGGAGACUGGAAUUCUCGGUGUAGCAGUGAAAUGCGUAGAUAUCGAGAGGAACACCAGUGGCGAAGGCGAGUCUCUGGACAUUUCCUGACGCUGAGGCACGAAAGCCAGGGGAGCAAACGGG
rnacentral:rRNA from 1 species